GAUGAACGCUGGCGGCGUGCCUAAUACAUGCAAGUCGAGCGAACGGACGAGAAGCUUGCUUCUCUGAUGUUAGCGGCGGACGGGUGAGUAACACGUGGAUAACCUACCUAUAAUACUGGGAUAACUUCGGGAAACCGGAGCUAAUACCGGAUAAUAUUUUGAACAGCAUGGUUAAAAUGUGAAAGACGGUCUUGCUGUCACUUAUAGAUGGAUCCGCGCUGCAUUAGCUAGUUGGUAAGGUAACGGCUUACCAAGGCGACGAUGCAUAGCCGACCUGAGAGGGUGAUCGGCCACACUGGAACUGAGACACGGUCCAGACUCCUACGGGAGGCAGCAGUAGGGAAUCUUCCGCAAUGGGCGAAAGCCUGACGCAGCAACGCCGCGUGAGUGAUGAAGGUCUUCGGAUCGUAAAACUCUGUUAUUAGGGAAGAACAUAUGUGUAAGUAACUGUUCACAUCUUGACGGUACCUAAUCAGAAAGCCACGGCUAACUACGUG
rnacentral:rRNA from 1 species